GACUCGAUAUUCUUAAAAAAGGGGGGGGGGGAGCAGAACCAAGUCAAGAUGAUAUGGGUCGCCCCUUUUUCUUGCGCCAAAGAUCUUAACAUUUCCGAAGGAACUGGGGCUACAUUUCUUUUCAAUUUCCAUUAAAGAGUUUCUAUCUGUUUCCGCGCCCUUUUCUUGAGACCUCGAAACAUGAGUCAUCCAUUUUCAAAAGAAACUAUGUGA
rnacentral:rRNA from 1 species